AUCGAUGAAGAACGCAGCGAAAUGCGAUAAGUAAUGUGAAUUGCAGAAUUCAGUGAAUCAUCGAAUCUUUGAACGCACAUUGCGCCCUCUGGUAUUCCGGGGGGCAUGCCUGUUCGAGCGUCAUUACAACCCUCACGCCUGGCGUGGUAUUGGGCUCGCCCUGUAGGGCCUGCCUCAAAGUCAGUGGCGGCACCGUUUGACCCCUAAGCGUAGUAAUACUCGUCGCUUCUGGUGUCGUGCGGAGGCCUGCCAGCAACCCCCAUUUUUUAAAGGUUGACCUCGGAUCAGGUAGGGAUACCCGCUGAACUUAAGCAUAUCAAUAAGCGGAGGAAAAGAAACCAACAGGGAUUGCCUCAGUAACGGCGAGUGAAGCGGCAACAGCUCAAAUUUGAAAGCUGGCUUACGCCCGCGUUGUAAUUUGUAGAGGAUGCUUCGGGCGCGGCGCCGGUCUAAGUUCUUUGGAACAAGACGUCAUAGAGGGUGAGAAUCCCGUAUGUGACUGGUUGCCUGUACUCAUGUGAAGCUCCUUCGACGAGUCGAGUUGUUUGGGAAUGCAGCUCUAAAUGGGUGGUGUACUUCAUCUAAAGCUAAAUAUUGGCCAGAGACCGAUAGCGCACAAGUAGAGUGAUCGAAAGAUGAAAAGCACUUUGGAAAGAGAGUUAAACAGUACGUGAAAUUGUUGAAAGGGAAGCGCUUGCAAUCAGACUUGCACGGCGUCGAUCAGCCUGGGUUCUCCCUGGUGCACUCGGCGCUGUUCAGGCCAGCAUCAGUUUCGGCGGUUGGAUAAAGGCCUAGGGAACGUGGGUCGCCUCGGCGACCGUUAUAGCCCUAGGUGCAAUGCAGCCUGCUGGGACUGAGGACCGCGCUUCGGCUAGGAUGCUGGCGUAAUGGUUGUAAGCGACCCGUCUUGAAACACGGAAGGGCG
rnacentral:rRNA from 1 species